GAUCGGAGGAGUUGGUAAAAUAAUUUUUAAAAAAAACCUAGCUCUCUUUUGCUCGCUUUCUGUGAGAUCUCGAUCUUCCUUCGAUUCCAUCAUAAGCAGAAUUGACAACUGGAAACAUGAACAUAUACGGCAGUUCCUGAGAGAGAAGGUGAAGCCUGGUGCAUCAGCAAGCUAAGAUUUGAAUCUCAGGGAUAUGAGGUGCUGGACAGAGUUCCAUGACAAAUCUAAAUCGGCAAAAAGUUUUUGAAUAGGUAAGCUGGGCUUGAAUUAGAGGCCUAAUACCUCUCCACAGUACACACAAACAUUUAAAUGCAGCACAAAUGCAUAUGGGGACAUCAUAGUUGUACAAAAAGGUAAGAACAUCAGUCUGAUCCAUUCAUUAGAUGGGCCACACAUGUAAGAUUGCUGAUUAUUUUAAACAGAUAAUUGUUUUUGUGCGUGUGGCUGCCAGAUGAAUGAACCUACCUAACUUUUAUCCCGGGUGAUCUUCACAAAUGGAUCCAACCUGAUUCACAGCUCAAA